AGGGGCCCUAAUGUGACCGAUCAGCUCUGAGCUGUCCUGAGUCCAGUCACAGGGUUUGCUGUGCAUUGGGCCUUCCUGUGGUUAUUUGGUGCCCAUGGAAUGAAACUCUCUCGUUCCCUCUCCCUCUUCUUCCUCCCCCACCCCUGUGUGUGUGUGUGUGUGUAUGUCUAUGUAUGUCUCUGUGUGUGUCUGUGUGUGUAUGUCUAUGUGUCUGUGUGUGUGUAUGUGUGUAUGUCUGUGUGUAUGUAUGUGUGUAUAUGUGUGUGCCUGUGUGUGUAUGUGUGUCUGUGUGUGUAUGUCUGUGUGUGUGUGUGUAUGUCUGUGUAUGUAUGUGUGUGUGUCUGUAUGUGUCUGUGUGUGUGUAUGUCUCUGUGUGUGUAUGUGUGUAUAUGUAUAUGUGUGUGUGUAUGUGUGUGUGUGUGUGUGUGUGAAACCACUGUUCUAACCUUCUCCCUGUCAGGCAUCUGCCCCUUUCAUUAUUGUGUCUUGCUGGGUGUACUUGGGUAUACUGGACUUCCUCACCAACAUCUGGGUGAGUGGCCACUGUCUCAGGGGGGAAGUCACCAAGAGCAAGAUGAACUCUAAGACCUGGGGGAAGCCAUCUUCUAAAUUAGAAAAACAAACAAACCCACACCAGCCUUGGGCCCACCUACACUUGCUGAUGCAAUUUCCAAUUAUGCAUUUAUCUGCAUGCAAAUGUCUAUGAUGCAAUCCCAAGUCUGUUCACUGACCCCAUGACCCCCUCUUGAUUCCUAUGUAGUGACCGAUACCCUACCCCUGCCUAGGGUUUUUUUUUUUUUUUUCUAUUUUGAGUUUCCAUGGAAAAUCUGAAAACUGUAUGCUAUGUGGCUCGUGGAGAGGCUGAGUAGCUGGCGCAGGCAGUGGCUGGGCAGGCUGGCUGCUGGAAGAGUCAUCACUGGGCUUCCUGAGGCUGAAGGCUGUUACAGGCUCUAUGUCUUAGCUGACAACUCUAUAUGUCAGUCCCAGGGCUGUCCCAACCACAGGCCCUCAGGCUCCAGCUAAGGUGCUCUCCCUACAAACACCACUUGGAUAUUGCUGUAUCAAUCAAUUAACACUUAUUUACAGGGUACCUUGUGAGUGCAAAGCACUAUGGGAAAAUCAGCAGAGAUGUACAAAUCAUAUCCUGCCUUUGCCAGCUCUUCUGGUUACUGUUGGGCAGCCUUUCACCGGACAGUGAGGAUCGACUGCCAUCUGUAAAGGGGAGAGCACCCACAGAUGCUGGCAGCAGACCAGAGGUGUAAGAAGGGAAAACCCAGUCAGGUUAGGCUAGAGGCCUUUCAGGCAGGCUCCUUCUCUCUGAUGGGGCAGCCUGCAAGAGACUGGAGCUGCCCUUGGGAGGUUACCUGGCUGUAUAUAUGAGAGAGGACUUUCCGCCUCUUCAUUCUGUUUCCCAGGGCCAAUUCCCUGCGUGGCUGGUUUCUUCAGAACUAUGCAGGCCUGCCUUUGGUGAGGGGGAGUAGGUGGCUGAGUUCUACCAGCUGGCUACUCCCAAGGAGAGUAACUAAGGGUUUCCAGCCCUCAGAGAGGACACUAAUUGGAUAAUUCAUGGGGCAGCUGAAAAAAACCAGCUCAGCUGUCUUUUGAAAGACUUUUUACAUUUUUUAAAAGUGCAGGCUGGCAUGGAAACAUGAGAUGAAAUCAUGCUAUGGCCUAAUAGUGUUUAUCUUUGAAGGGUGGAAUUACAGGUGACGUUUUCCUUCCAUCUUCUAAGGUCUCUACAUUAAUUAUGCAUUAGCUUUGGAGAAAGCAUUGCAUACCGGUCUUUAUGUCCAAUAUGGGAAAAUGGAGGGUCUUCCUGUUCUGUGCUUAAGUCAGGAAGGAGCCAGCUUUGGGGCUCUGGCUGCUAUGCACAGAGAGGAGUACUGUCUUUGGUCAAACCUGUCCCUAGAAAUGCCUGGGGCUGCCUGGGUGGAGUCUGCCCAGUGAACCUCACAGGCUUUCCUACUUUGCCGUCUCUCUGGUGCCUUAAUGGAAAGGCAGUUUCCAAACACAGAGCAAAAUCUAUUGACAGAGUCCCUGGGCCUAAACCAGCAGCCACCACACAGAGUAUGGAGAGGCUGACUGGUCUCAGGGACAACCCUACCACGAGAUCACAUUUUUGGAAUCUCUGAACACAAACUCUAAUUUAUUGCUGUCUGGAUCAUCCUCCCAGACAGAAUCCAUCCGUCCAAUUCUGGCACAGAUGUGUUUGAGGCAUAAUGGAAAAUGAAAAGAGAGGUUGCAAUUUAGAGCCACUGGGCAAUGGGGAAAAAAUCCACCCUUGCUCAUCCAAUCCCCCAACCCCAAACCACAUAGACACGGCUUUCCUCUCUCGGUCAAGGAAACUAUGGCUUAGUGGAAUGUCAUCAUGGAGUGGCAGGGAAUCCUCCCAGAAUGCUGUGGGCUGUUAGGGAUGUGUGGGUGAGGAGUGUUCCAGGGCCAGAACAGUCUCUGCUUUGGAAGGAGGCGCAGCAGCCACUGUGUAGCUCUUCGGUCCUUCUGCAUGCUCUAGACCUGUCAGGUCAGGAGAUGCUACUUUUGCUGCACUUGGGUCGGUGAACCAUACACUGGAAACUUUUUCACGGGGGGGCAAGAGAAAUCAUGCUAUCCCCUAGUCACACUAGCCAAGGAAGCAAGUCUACUUGUUACUGUGGGCAUUCCCUACAGCAGAGGAUGCUCUGACCCAGCACUCAAGGCAAACUUUCAGGCCUCCUUAGUCAAAAGCUUUAACGUCCCCUGCAAUGCUUUUAAUUUUGGCCCAUUCUGCUUUUAAUAUCGACAUUCUGUACUGAUACUCAGGGAAAGCUGAAGCAAGCAAGAAAUGGGCAAGUGCUCCUUCUCCAUUCUCUUCUUGCCCCCAGUUUUACCUCCCUUCACUUCUUUUCUUCUUCCAUGCAUAUUUGGUAAUAGUCAACCAUGGUCCAACCCAGGCCAGGCCCUGUGCUCCACGUUGGAGACGUGUAGGACAUCCACAUAAAGCGAGCCGUGCAAUAAGAUGUAGGCUGUGUGCGGAGGGGGAGGAGUGCACAUUAUCAAGGGAGGGCACAGGGCACCGGCAGGUGGCAGUCAUCCUCGUUCUGAUAAACGCCUUGAAGAACGAGUCAUAUUUCACAGAGCAGCAAAGAAUUAGUGGGAUGAGGAAACCUGAGGCAGAAGGAACUGCACAGGGGAAAGAGCCAUUUCUACCCUCCAUCCACGCUAUGCUGACAAAGAGGCCAGCACUGGGGAAUACAUUGUGUCAUCAUCACAGGAGUGUGGGGGCAGCCAUGGCUCAUGGUUUCUGCUUAGCCUACAUCGUCCUGGGAGGAGAGAUAGGAACUCAGCUCUCCUGACUGAGUGAGCAAGAGCCUGAAUGUGCUUGGCUGCCAAACACAGUGAGCAGCCCCAGAGAAAUGCUCAGGAGAGCCACAGAGAGGACGCCAAGGGACGGCAAAGACUCGAGGGCCAGUGAGAAUCGCUAUAGUCAGAGAACACUGCUGAGGGCUGCUCUGCUUCUAGGGUAGACAUUACUUCCAGCAUCCCUAGGAGAAUUGGAGAAAAAACACCACUGCUCUUGCAGAAAUGGACUUUUCUUCUUAUAUUCAUUCGUCCAUUUUGUAUGGAAGGGGGAACAUGCAUGUGCCACAGCACGUAUGUAGACGUCAAAGGACGAUGUGUGGGAGUCCGUAGUCUCCUGCCACCAUGUGGGUCCUGGGGAUUGAACUCAGAUCAUGAGACUUGGUUGCAAACACCCUCACCUGCUGCAGCACCUCACUGGCCCUGGAACGGACUUCUCAUACAAUGGGGUGAGCUCCAUGGUAACGACUAAGAGCAAGUUAAUUAAAAAUACUAAAAACAACCAGGGCAGUGGAGGUGUACACCUUCAAUGUCAGCACACGUGAGACAGAGGCAGGGGGACCUUUGUGAGGCAGAGGCCAGCCUGGUCUAUAGAAUGAGUCCUGGACCAGCCAGAGCUGCAUAGCAAGACUCUGUCUUAAAUAGGAACAAGAAAAUCAAAAGGAAGGAAGGAAAUGCUAUAAAAUAGGGUAGGUUUGGGGAACACAGGUGAACCAACAGCAUAAAAUAAAAGGGGGAAGGUGACUAGAACACCUCAAGGACCAGAUGGGGCCCCAGAAGCCAUCACCGAACAGGACAAUCACAGACAUUCUCUGUGGGCAAGUUAUUCCAACAGCUACCAAUGAGCUAGAGAGUUUGCCGGACACAGAACACUGUCCCGGUGUCUUUAGAGAAGAAGUUUAUGGUCUCAAUCCCAGGGGCAAAAAGGAUGGAAGACAGAUUCAAAGUCUUUUGAAGCAAAAAAGAUGGACAGAAAGUUCCUAUCAGUAGCAUCUCUCUGUAGAACACAAGCCCUUCAAAACAGCUCAUGCAGGUCAAUUGUAUUUUACAGGUUCAAUUGUUCUCUCUCUCUCUCUCUCUCUCUCUCUCUCUCUCUCUCUCUCUCUCUCUCUCUUUCUCUCUUGUUCUGAAUUGCAAACAAGGAAGGUUCAUCCAGCUGCCACAGUAUUGAGAUCAGAAUACAAAUACUACUCCCUAUGUGGGUUUCCCAGCAUGCACAGCCUUCCCCUCCUGACACAGCCACCUGCAUGACAAGGAGCAUAUGCAUGCUGCUACUCAGCUCUCUGCUGAAGAGACCCAGUAGAGAGGAUCCUUUCAGGCCCCAAAGCAUCCCCAGCAGGAGUUAUAGCCAAGCAUGAGUGUUUACACCCAGGUGGGAGACAACGGAAGGGGCCUCAAUGCCUGAGUCAGGCUCCCUGUCUUCUCUCAUGUGGUGACAUCUGUUUUUGCUGUUUCGUGAGCCAGAAUGUUCUUCUGCACUGCCCACAGAAGGCUAACUCCCCCUUCCUCUCAGGUCACUUCCUUGGGGAAGCCUGUCCUGGCCUAGAUAUGCGUGUUGUGUCGUUUCAUAGCUCACAUAACUAUUGCUAUUUAAAUGUUUCUGGGAUUGAAAGGCCCGAGAUCUGUGAGAGCUCUCAGUUGUUGGCUGCUAAGUGUUUCCUCUCUGCCUUGUAGGACCGGCUGAGGUGGGGCAGGGGAGCAGAGGCGCCAGUCAUUCAGUUGUGAAAUGAACUGUUUUCUCCUUAAACCCACAUUCAGAAAGCUCCCCUCAGCAUGAUGGUUCUUGAAGCUAGGACCUUGCUAGGUAUGUGUGUGCUGGUAAUCAGUGCUAGAAAACUAUGCUGGAGGUGCUCGGCUUCCCCACAGGAAAAGAAGACACACAUCUGCACUGGCUGCCAGGUUCCCUUAGCUUCAGGGCUGUGUGCUGGAACCACUCACGCUCACAAAAAGUAAAGCUGCAUGCACGGCCUCCUAGGCAAGGCUUGCACACUCCAUAUGGCUACCACAACACACAGACAUGCUGCCCCUCAAGGAAAGACGAACAAAACCAGCCCUAUGUUCUUGCUUCACCAUAGCAAAAGCUGUGCACACAAACCCGGCUCAUCGCUCUUCUCCAUUUUGGGAUGAAGCCACAUAAAGUUGAAAAUGAGGCUUCUAUUCUAGAGUCUCCAUUAACUGCUUUCAAGCUAAUACUUGCUCAUGGUGGCAACGCAUGCCCCGGAUGGAGUCAUAAUGAGCACUCGUGAUUCCUGAUCCGAUUGAAGCCCCAUUAUGCCUCAGCUUUGCGGCAGGCAGAUGUCACAAGCUCAUUUGCUUUGGAAGAUGACACUAAUUUGUUCAAAGUGGAAAACCGGCUCCCAAGACUUUCAUCGAGUUAUACAGCGAAAGCAAGGCCAGGAUUCAGACAGUACUUUAUCAAGAGCAAGGAUUAUUAUUCUUUAACCAGAAAAAACCUACAAGGGCUGAAUAGCAUCUGACAUUCACAUCAAAUGGCCUCACAGGAACCUGGUUGCUCUGUCCUUGACAUCGGGACCAGGUAUAGACUAGGAAGAAGAACUGCUGUGACAACAGAUGCUGACCAGGUUGUUUGGAAGUGGCUGAUAGCUUCUGUGUCUCCAGUGUGAUUUGCCCUCUAUUCCUUCAUAAAGGCAAGCUUGUGCUUCCUUCAGACCCAUGCACAGUGCCACCCAGAUCCCUGAAAGAUGUGACCACGUUAUGUGACAGCUCAGAAUCUUUCCUUCAAGCCAGCUCCGCAGUUUCAGCCGCCCUUUCCCAAGCACAGCUGAAUUGGUGCAGAAGCCGGAGGCAACAGAAGGAAGAGGGGGCAGUUGAUGGAUGAAUUCUGAGAAGGAGAUUCCACCUGAACAGAUUGGCUAAGUGUCUUGACAGAAGGGAAUCUGACUCUUGGCUCCACUACCAACUGCAUGAGGCUUCAGCCCCUCAGUUUCUUUAGUUUACAAAGAAGGCUACAUCUUUCCUGGCCUGGAAGUAAAACGAGGGUGUCUAUGCAGUCUUGGUGAACUGUGAAGAGAUGCUCACAGGGAUGGCUCUCUGGCAUCCUUCCGGUGAGUUUUCUUGCUCCCUCCAUUACUUUCCUGCUUCCUGAGUCUCUUCUUGAGCGGUAUGACUGUAGUUUAAAUGUUAGGCCAGGGAGCCCAGGAAAUCUAGUUCCCAGCAAGAAUUACAAACCUUCACCUCCUAAGUGAGAGACUACGUGAGCAGUGACUCAGAGCAGCGGGAGGAGCAGCCAGCCCAGACAGAAGGCUUUGAAGAGUCUUCAGGCCCAAGAGUGCCUUCUCCAAUGGGUGUGUGUCAGGGAGCUGGAACAAGACCAAUCUAAGCUGUGGUUUGUCUCAGAGAGAAAUUUUGGAGACUGGAUUAUUAUUGGGUGGCUGGUUAACAUCAGUUAACUAGACAAGGCACUCAGAUGGCGGCACUUAAGAUCUCAGCAACAACAACAAUAAAACAUUGAAGGUAUUACAGUAAAAGGAGGCUGCUGUCCUGCAAAUGAACUCAUAGGAAAUCAGAUUUUCUGAACUUGAUACUACUGAUCACAAGAGGCAGUUUUCGGAGCUCUGUAAACUUCCACAUGGAUGGGCUUGUCCUUGUGAGAAGAGACCAAGAAACUCCAGAAAUCUACAAACAGCAACAGAAAGGAACGUGUGGCCUCUCGGGACUCACCCCUACCAUCACAGACUUUCCCUAACAUUUCUCUUUUAACUCUGACUCCAGGAAAGAGAUCUGGAAGCUGAGCAGUCCCGUGCCAGACUCUGCCCUCCUGAGUUAUAAACAUUGGAUUAUUACGAUGCGUUUCCUGCAUGUGUCUUCCAUGUGGCUCAGGCCUCCUGUUUCCUGUGAGAUGCUCCCUUCUCACAUAGCUCUCCUGUCAUUCAGCUAAAACAGACCAAGGAGCUGCAAAAUUCCAGUUCUUUCCUUCAUUUGGCUUAAAAUCCCCCCAAAGACUUUAUUCCCUUGUUGGGUUUCUUUUCAGUUUCUUACCUCUACCACGCUGUAAGAUCUGCCAAGGUGGGAGGUAUCUGUUUUCUGUGAAGUGAUACUGGAGGGAGGUGGCCAGGACAUUCUGCUGGUGGCCGAGGUCACCUCCUUCACUGAAUGCAUGUUCUAAUGGCACUGGGGCGGGGCUCACAAAAGGGGGACUGGAAUGUUUUCUUUCCUUUUUAUGAUCCAUUUCAAUUCAUCCCAUUCUGAGAUCUCCCACCCCAGCCGUCUCUAAGCCCUCACUUCUUAGGGAAAGCACACAGAAUGUCCGUUUUCCUUUGCCUGUGGGAGUCUGUUCUGAGAGUCAAUUAAUUUCAGUAUAAAUGAGUCUGGGGCUCAGUCUUUGGUUACUGUGUCAGGGCUUCCUACUCCUGCAGCUUGAUGCUGCUUGGACACACAAAUUGUUAACUUUACAAGUUUGCAAUCACAAUCUUCUCUCUCUUGAGUCUCAUAUGAAACCCAUUUCCUUGGGAAUUGACCGAUGACCUCUGCCCUCUCGCCUCAAUUGCUUAAAGGCCCCUCACUCUCUUUUUCCUUGGCCUUCAACUCCAGAUACUAGAAGGUGAGCUGAACUUCAAAGGGCAGCCAGCCAGAUGUCUUCCUUUCCUUCCUCCCCCUGUGAGGGACCGGCUUCCUCUCUUUUGUCUGAGCUCUGGGUAUGAUUUCAGGUAUUCCUACUUCUGUGUCCCAGGCUGUCCACAGUGUGGUGCCCAGAUGCCUGGGCCGGAGACUCUAACUGGUGUGAUUUGCUUCAGGGACUUGACAACACUCCUUGUUAUUUGUGAUGUUCUAAUGUGAAUAUGGGUGUGCGCGUGCACAUGUACAUGUGUGGAGGUGUGUGUGUCCUCUAUCAACAGCAGCAGGUCUGUGCUGUCCAAAACAGCAGCCUCAAGCCAUAGCUAGCAACUAAGCUGUUAGAGCCCUUGAACUAGAGUAUAGAUUAUUUCAAUAAAUUUUACACAAUCUAGAAAUAUGAAUCAUUUGAUAGAAUGCUUGCUU